rnacentral:rRNA from 1 species
GGGGGGGGGGGGGGGGAGGCCUGGGGCGGGCGAGGCGGGCGGGUGAGGGGAGCUUGCUCCUGGAUUCAGCGGCGGACGGGUGAGGAAGGCCUAGGAAUCUGCCUGGUAGUGGGGGAGAACGUCCGGAAACGGGCGCUAAUACCGCAUACGUCCUGAGGGAGAAAGUGGGGGAUCUUCGGACCUCACCCUAUCAGAUGAGCCUAGGUCGGAUUAGCUAGUUGGUGGGGUAAGGGCCUACCAAGGCGACGAUCCGUAACUGGUCUGAGAGGAUGAUCAGUCACACUGGAACUGAGACACGGUCCAGACUCCUACGGGAGGCAGCAGUGGGGAACAUUGGACAAUGGGCGAAAGCCUGAUCCAGCCAUGCCGCGUGUGUGAAGAAGGUCUUCGGAUUGUAAAGCACUUUAAGUUGGGAGGAAGGGCAGUAAGUUAAUACCUUGCUGUUUUGACGUUACCAACAGAAUAAGCACCGGCUAACUUCGUG